rnacentral:rRNA from 1 species
CCCGACCUCAGAUCGGACGAGAUUACCCGCUGAAUUUAAGCAUAUCACUAAGCGGAGGAAAAAGAAACU